rnacentral:rRNA from 1 species
GACGUAGGGGGCGAGUGUUGUCCGGAAUUACUGGGCGUAAAGAGCACGUAGGCGGGACUUUAAGUCAGGUGUGAAAGACCGGGGCUCAACUCCGGGAUUGCACUUGAAACUGAAGUUCUUGAGGGCAGGAGAGGAAAGCAGAAUUCCUGGUGUAGCGGUGAAAUGCGUAGAAAUCAGGAGGAAUACCAGUGGCGAAGGCGGCUUUCUGGACUGACCCUGACGCUGAGGUGCGAAAGCGUGGGUAGCAAAC